UACGUAGGGGGCAAGCGUUAUCCGGAUUUACUGGGUGUAAAGGGAGCGUAGGUGGUGUGGUAAGUCAGAUGUGAAAGCCCGGGGCUCAACCCCGGGAUUGCAUUUGAAACUGCCAUGCUUGAGUGCAGGAGAGGUAAGUGGAAUUCCUAGUGUAGCGGUGAAAUGCGUAGAUAUUAGGAGGAACACCAGUGGCGAAGGCGGCUUACUGGACUGUAACUGACACUGAGGCUCGAAAGCGUGGGGAGCAAAC
rnacentral:rRNA from 1 species